rnacentral:tRNA from 2 species
CGGUGUGUAGCUCAGCCAGCAGAGCACCCGGCUCUGGACCGGGGGGCGCGGGGGCGGAACCCGCCGCACCGG